UGCAAGUCGAACGGUAGAGGGGGCAACCCCUUGAGAGUGGCGAACGGGUGAGUAAUAUAUCGGAACGUGCCCAGUCGUGGGGGAUAACGUAGUGAAAAUUACGCUAAUACCGCAUACGAUCUAAGGAUGAAAGCGGGGGAUCGCAAGACCUCGCGCGAUUGGAGCGGCCGAUAUCAGAUUAGGUAGUUGGUAGGGUAAAGGCCUACCAAGCCAACGAUCUGUAGCUGGUCUGAGAGGACGACCAGCCACACUGGAACUGAGACACGGUCCAGACUCCUACGGGAGGCAGCAGUGGGGAAUUUUGGACAAUGGGCGAAAGCCUGAUCCAGCCAUUCCGCGUGCAGGAUGAAGGCCCUCGGGUUGUAAACUGCUUUUGUACAGAACGAAAAGGUCUCUAUUAAUACUAGGGGCUCAUGACGGUACUGUAAGAAUAAGCACCGGCUAACUACGUGCCAGCAGCCGCGGUAAUACGUAGGGUGCAAGCGUUAAUCGGAAUUACUGGGCGUAAAGCGUGCGCAGGCGGUUAUAUAAGUCAGAUGUGAAAUCCCCGGGCUCAACCUGGGAACUGCAUUUGAGACUGUAUAGCUAGAGUACGGUAGAGGGGGAUGGAAUUCCGCGUGUAGCAGUGAAAUGCGUAGAUAUGCGGAGGAACACCGAUGGCGAAGGCAAUCCCCUGGACCUGUACUGACGCUCAUGCACG
rnacentral:rRNA from 1 species